UUCUGCUCAGGAUGAUUAGGCCUUAGAGUUACUCAUUUGACCAAAUGGUCUCUCAGAACCAUCCCUUUUGCUUGGGGCCCAUGGAAUAUUUUACCUCAGACCAUGGAGCAUUGAUCCCUCUGUUGAAGGUUCACUGAAAUCCAAAAGGAGGGAGCAAAUCCUGGAAUCUCAUGCUACUUCCUUGUGUAAGGUCACAUGAUAUGUUGUGAAGUCAUCAGUCUGGUGCUCAUUUCUUUUUGGUUGAAUAUAGUUUUUAGGAGGCAAUCAGGCUUAGGACACCCCCAACUUUUCUUGAAUCAUGGAAUCUAUAUUCAGUCUCUUGCAGAUUCAGCUAAAGAUGUGUAUAUGCUAGACUGUGAAGUACCAUUAGAAGAUGAAGCAAUGUAGGACCUCUUGAGCUAUUUUCAAGGUAAACUGGAGGUUCACUUGGGAUGCAAUGAAGAGCCCCUGACAAGCAUAUUCUUCAAAGCCUCCCAUGGUGUAACUGAAGAUACGAUAUGUGAAGUAGCCCUAGCUUGCCUGCUCAAGUGGACAAGAGCACUUUCACCAAAGGCCCACAUUGGCCUGAAAUAUCUUCUUUUGCCCAAGGCGUACUCAUGCCUGCACUCUCUUGUGGCCAUCAUUAGCACUUCUUCUCUUGAUUUUGUGAGCCUGCUAUAUCCCAACUGUUUAGGAUUACAUACAAACUUAUUUCUGCUACAUGUAUUCUGAGACAUUCCUCCAUGGAAGGAAGGGGUGUUGAUCUUUUCUUGUCUGACAAAAGUCUUCAAAGCCCAAAGACAACUGCUGGAAUGAAAUGCAACCUAUAGGACUGAUGGAAGAAUUGCUACCUGGACGUUCAAAUGCCAUGAAAAUAUAUGGACAUUCUAAAUACUGAUAAAGAAUAGGAAGCUGAUCAAGCAAUACUGGAUCUUCCUCUGCUCCACGAGAGGUGUCCUUUCACAUGCAGAGGAAUGUGUAGAUGGACAUAUAUUUGAAUAAGAUACUGAACCUAAGACUACUGCAUUAGAGCCUCGUACAAGACUUCUAAGACUGUUGACUGCCUACCAUGGAUAUUCAGGCAUCUGCAGAUACUACCUUUUGAGGAAUGAAUCCUUCUCAGGAGACAAUAGACGGAACCUGCACUUCAAUGAUAAUUAAAUGGCACUUCAAGAUAUCAAAUCAAAAUAUCAAAGUGAGAAUGGAAUAAAUUUAUUAGUACAGU